rnacentral:tRNA from 1 species
GCCUGGGGGGCUCAGUCAGUUGAGCAUCUGACUUCGGCUCAGGUCACGAUCUCAUGGUUUGUGGGUUCAAGCCCCACGUCGGGCU